rnacentral:rRNA from 1 species
GACGGAGGAGGCAAGCGUUAUCCGGAAUUAUUGGGCGUAAAGGGCGCGUAGGCGGCCUUUCAAGUGACGGGUGAAAGCCCUCGGCUUAACCGAGGAACUGCCUGUCAGACUGGAAGGCUUGAGACCGGGAGAGGUGAGUGGAAUUCCCAGUGUAGCGGUGAAAUGCGUAGAUAUUGGGAGGAACACCAGUGGCGAAGGCGGCUCACUGGACCGGUACUGACGCUGAGGCGCGAAAGCGUGGGGAGCAAACAGG